rnacentral:rRNA from 1 species
CCUACGGGUGGCAGCAGUCGAGAAUCAUUCACAAUGGGGGAAACCCUGAUGGUGCGACGCCACGUGGGGGAAUGAAGGUCUUCGGAUUGUAAACCCCUGUCAUGUGGGAGCAAAUUAAAAAGAUAGUACCACAAGAGGAAGAGACGGCUAACUCUGUGCCAGCAGCCGCGGUAAUACAGAGGUCUCAAGCGUUGUUCGGAAUCACUGGGCGUAAAGCGUGCGUAGGCUGUUUCGUAAGUCGUGUGUGAAAGGUGCGGGCUCAACCCGCGGACGGCACAUGAUACUGCGAGACUAGAGUAAUGGAGGGGGAACCGGAAUUCUCGGUGUAGCAGUGAAAUGCGUAGAUAUCGAGAGGAACACUCGUGGCGAAGGCGGGUUCCUGGACAUUAACUGACGCUGAGGCACGAAGGCCAGGGGAGCGAAAGGGAUUAGAUACCCCAGUAGUC